AGCUUUGUAGCACAGCGGAAGCGCGUCGGGCUCAUAGAGAUCACCCGAAGGUCAACGGAUCGAAACCGUUCAAAGCUA
rnacentral:tRNA from 1 species